AUUGCCAGCUACUUCCACGUCAUUGCCUGUCUACACGGUCAGCAGCUGCCAGUGGUAUAACACUGCUGCCAGCAACACCCAAAGGACCAAAGGGAACGACGAGCAAGCAUACGACCCUCUUUCACAGGUGCUCAGGUGCCACCGCUGCUCAAGAGGUGGGAAGAUACAGGCGAAAGUAUGGAAGCUACUCAGUUCUCUGCCAGAGAAGAGGAUCCCGACACUGAGGAUCCGCGACCUUCGCUCGACUGGGCCAAGCUGCUUGCCAAGAACGACGAAGAGAAAAGGACGCGCCGGGCAGGUAUCCCACCAGUUAGGAAGAACUUUUACGCCGAGGAUCCCCAAAUUACAUGCGUGAUAGCCGAUAAGGUUGGCGAAUUCAAGUCAGCCAGCAACCAUGUAUUCAACUAUCCGGGGGCCCAGGAACGUCCACGACCUUCGCUCGACUCUGCCAAGCUGCUUGCGAAAAGCGAUGAAGAAGUAAGGACGCGCUGGGCAGAUUUUCCACCCGUGAGGAAGCAUUUCUACGCCGAGGAUCCCGAAGAGGAGGCGAAUAAAUUCAGGGAAAAUGCCAGAUUGUGACGACAAGUGCCACUUGGCAAGAGGAUGUGCGCGCGUCGUCUUAUAAGAGCUACAUGAACCAUUCAUUCCAGUUGUUUAAGGGAUCGGUACCUAGCACCGCAUACUGCAAUCUAGAAAAUUAAUUCGCUUGCAUGCAAGUCCUCACUGCAUACAUGAUCGUUUCCUGCGCUUGCUCACCAUCAUUAUUUUAGCGUAUUGUGUUCCUUUUAUAUAAUUGUGUGCGUUUUCGGUACAUAUAUGUGCUAUUUAUUGCCUGCUGUAUUUUUUGCUCUGUAGUGUCAAACGGCAUCGCGCACGGUUAUGUAAAUAAUAACAUAAUAAAGAAAAACUGCAGCAGCUUA
rnacentral:lncRNA from 1 species